CUUAUUUUUCCCAGAAAUACGUUUGUAAAAAAGGAUCUUUUUCUUAUUAUCUUAUUUUUCCCAGAAAUACAUUUGUAAACAAAAGGAUCUUUAUCCAUUUUUUAUUUUCCACAUAAAAGAUUUAAACAGUUCAAGGGCUCAAAACAUGGGCUACAUCAGCUACCUACCCAAAUGCUACCUUCGCAAAUGAUAAAAUAAAUUUUUCAAGAGCUCAAAGCAUGCGCUACAUCAGCUCGAACCUACCUACCCUACGCCUUUGCGCAAAUGAUUAUCUUAUGAUAACAAAUGCCCACAUACAGAUUUGGCAAUGGCAAAAGCAAUAGAUUUGACAGUUCGCAAGACAUAGAUUUUAUCCUGUCGAGAUGCCCCGUUAGCUCGUACAUACAUAUUCGUGCAACAUAGAAGAGAGCGCAUGUCAAAUCGUAGAUAGCGCCUUAGUGCAUGCAUAUGUAUGUAUGUACCAGUGCACAUGCCAAAGCAAACAUUUGUAAUUUGUAAUAUUCGUCAUUCUCUUAUUGUCAUAGAUAACUUAAUUAGAAUCUCUUUUCUUGCUCUCUCGCUUGCAGCUGAUCUGUUUUCUGAGCUGGCAACAAAACACAAUCAGGGUGCCGUCAACCAGCAGUUAGUGAAAAAGGCGGGAUGCCAGAAAAGCAGCGCUAUAAUUACUUGACGAAAUUAGUGUGAAAUGAAACUGUGCGAACAUAUUUUGGCAAAAUAAAUGUUUAUGUCAACUAAUUAAUGAUUUUGCAUUUUAGCAUUUACAUAUAUAUGUAUGUAUGCAUUUUCAAAGUGUUUAAUUUAGUGUUUUGUAUAAUUUAUUAAAUACCCAAGUUAAUAUUUUUCAGCAGUGGCAUCAUUGGCAAAUGUUAUAAAAAAUUCGAGUUUUGACAGCUCUCUCUCGAACCAAAGAGUCUCGUAUCAAGUUAUCUAUGCUUAUUGUCAUUUUGCUACCGAGCAGACAACAUUGUUGUAGUUAGAUUUCGCACUUGCGCCUUCGCGUAUGUGGGUAUCUAUGUAACGAAAGCAAAUUACAGAAACAUUUGUAAUUAUUCAUUCUCUUAAAUAUAUGCUCUUUUCUGUAGAAGCGCUGCUUAUAUUAGCUUAAUGUAAAAAUUGAAGAACUUUAAACGCAAAUAUAUCAAAAGUGGUUCAAUGAAUUUAAAAUCUGUAAAAUUUGUGCAAAGUUUCAGAUCGCACACUUUAAUUUGAUGUAUUAUUUGUCACUGUACGUUUUGUAGAUCUCUGGAAAUAAGCGCCUUGUCUUAGAAUAAUAUAUAGAUAUAGAUGUUGGUUGCGCAAGUCGUACCCCACAGUUGAAUGCCAUACAUCCAAACCGGUUUUAUGAUUGCGUUGUAAAACGCGACUUUGCUGUCUAGGCUAAGUUUAUAAUUUUUGUUUAAAAGCCAAUUAAAAUUUGCUACUCUUAAUUCAUGCAACUUAUUUUACUCGCAUAUAUCUUCGCCACGUGAGCCUUCGGUCUAGGUGAAUCCCAAGAUAAGUUACUUAAUUCGCUUGGGGUACUAGAACAUUGUUUACUUUAACUGUCAAUCACGUUCCUGGUCUUAGCGAGAAUGUAACUUGCUUGCAUUUUUGCUCAUUAAUAUUUAGACGCUAGUUGGCCAGUCUUCGACAACAGUUAAGUGCUGCUCUAAUACUUUUGAUGCUCCAAUGGGGCAUUUGUCACGGCUUACUAAAGCUGUGUCAUCCGCGAAAAUGGAUGCCAAUACGUUCUUCUAAUAUGAAGUCUGCUACUUUAACUAUAAAUUUCCUGUUUCUUAAAUGUGACUCCAAAGUUUUACGCAAUUCGUAAGGUAAAACGGUUUUGGUUUUUCAUAAAAGGUCUUCAUGCUAGACCUUAUCGAACGCCUGAGCUACAUCUAGAGAAAUAGCUGAACAGUACUCUCUGUGCUCGAAAGCUUUCCUGAUUUUUUUCGUAAUUAUAUUUAAUUGCUCUACAAUGCCAUGUUUAGCACGAAAGCCGAAUUGGUGCGUUGGAAUUAUAUUAUUAUCGUGGAGGAAAGGAGUCAUCUUUCAUAAUAACACUUUUUCAAAUAUUUUAGAAAUACUGGGUAAGAGACUUAUUGGUCUGUAGGACGACGGCUGUGUUAAGUCUUUCCCAGGUUUAUCUACCAUGUUGAUGUGCUACUUUUUCCACGAAAUUGGAUAGUAUACGAAACCAAGAAUUGCAUUAAAGAGCAAGGAGAGCACCGUUAUAGCAAUAUUUGGUAACUCAAUUAGCAUUUUUGGGGUAAUAUUACCGUGCCCUGGUGCCUUUUUCGAAUUUAGCUCUUUUAUGAUUCUAGUAACUUCAGAAGUCGAAGUCCUAAUAGACACAAGCGACUAGUUAGCAUUACUAGGCAAAGAUUGCAACUUAAAGUUUUUUUUUGAGCACUGCGUGCCCAAUUAUCAUUCAACUGCCUUAGAGGCAUUGCUAGAAUUCGGACACAGCUUCUUUCUAUAAUUUUCAGUGCUGCGUUCUUCCAUACGUUAAGCGCUUUUUUUUAACUUACGUAUAGCAGAUUUCAGUUGAAGCAUAGUUGAAUGGGAGCGACUUAACUGCCAUUCACGUCUAGCUUGCCUUUUCUCAUUUACAAGUUUUUCAAUUUUAUUAUUAGUGAUCUUUCUAAAAAUAACUGGUUUAUUGUUUCAUUUUGGUAUUGCCAAUACAGCUGCGUUAGUUAUUACAUCAUUAAGUUCUCUUAUAUUGCAUUUAUUUUCCAAUCAAUAUUUAUGUGGCUACUGGUAUAUUUUCUAUCCAUCAACAAGUUAGUUUUAUGAGAUGUUAGAGAAACUUUUGGCCCAUGAGCUGUUCGUAUAACUUUAUUAGUACAGGUAAAUGAUCAGAUGAUAAGUCUAUACAUGUAUCAGCUGUCAAAAGCGAUCUAUCUAUAUUUGUGACUACAGCUGUCAUAAGCGAUCUAUCUAUAUUUUUGACUACAGCAAAAUCUAUUUAGUCUGGUAUUUUUUUUUCUAUCACUGGGCUAGUAAAUCGGCUUACCAGAAGAUAUGAUGUCGCUUAUUCAUAAUAGUGUCUUUUCGGAUUAAUAAGACGUGAGCCCCAGUACGUUUGUUUUGCGUUGUAAUCUCCAUCUGCUAGAAAUCUUUGACCUAGCGUUCCAAAAAAGUCUUUAAAUUCGCUUUGUAGCUUGUAACUGUGCUGUAGCAUAAGAUUCGAGAGCAUAAUGGUUUAACCGAUUUUUAACCUACACUCCGUGCACGAUGCGCUUUUCCAUCCGGAUGAUUUGUGACAUAGAGCCUAAUCCCGGUAUAUUGAAAUUAUUUUUAUUUAUAAGAUUAGAUUAUGAUGUACGAAUUACAUAUAUAUUUUUUUCAGACAGAAAUCUAAUGAUCUCUAAUUUAUGUUGGUUGACACCGUGAGCAUUCCAUAUACAGAUAUACAGAUAGUACGCUCAUUUCUUACUUAAUAAAUUUUGCAACAUUUGAUUAUGUGAUUUUAUUAAAUCUUGUAUCAUAUUUUGCAUGGUAGGCAUAAAUUGUGUCAUACUUUGUGUAAGAUUUAAAAUCAUAGUUUCAAUACCUCCAUUUUUAGGAUGUUGCGGCAGUUGCAUUUGUAGAGUGCUGCCUUUCACUACUUUUGCAUAACUUCCUUGCAUAGCAUUAUUCUUAACAGUAAUAGGAUUUGAACUUUUAUCUGAGGUUGCUAUAAUUUCAUUACGGGGUGUUUGUAACAUUUCGUUACGACGUGCUUGAAUGCCCUGUAUAUCUUUGAUUUCAAAUCUUUGUACAUAUACAGGACAACCCCUGUAGUUAGCAGUGUGAUUUCAUCCACAAUUGCUGCAUUUCUUUUUAAUCCUCUUUUUUAAGAGUACAUUUUGAAGUAGGAUAUAGAUUACCACACAGACACCGCGUAGAGUGCAAUAUGCUUUCGUGUGUCCAUACUCUUUGCAGUCUGUACAUUGUACUGGACCAUUUCUCUUAUGUGGUUCCUCAACAAUGAUUCUGCGAUGGAGCAGAUAUUUUAAAUUAUAAAACAGGUGUAUUUAAUUUUUCUUUGGUUGCUUAGAAUUUGACAUCAAAUCUAUUUUGAACAUUGGUUAAAAAUAUUUACUACUGGUUUAACCCUUUCAGACCGUGAUGCAUCAAUUGUGCGGUCAAGUUUCAAUGUCAAGAUCUCUACUAUUUAUGCACGUAUGUUAAAAAGGCCGAAAUGCAUCGAUUGUGCUGAUUAUUGUGUAUCUUUUCUUUUUGCACUGUUUCGCUAUUCGGUUUACCGUUAUCCACGUGGUGAUGAAAUUCUUAAGUCGUAUUUCGAUUUUUUCAAAGAGAGCUGCGGCAGUAAGUUGUAUUUAAUAUUAUUAAAAUAUUAUUAGUGAAAAAAUAGUGAAGAGUGCACAUUAUAACUAAAAAAAAUAGUAAGUUCUAAUAUUUAAAAUGAAUAGGAGUGAUUCAAUGCAAAGUAAGUAUGUUUUAGCCGUACUUUUCAACAAGUGCAUCAAUUGUGCGUAUCAGGUCUUAAGUAACUAAACACAAGUGCUUUUUAUUGCAUUUCAUUUCAAAUAAAUGCUUACAGAUGAUGAUAUUUUGGCAGUGCUAGAGGCCUCAGACGCCCCCGAUUUUAGCAGCGAUGAUGAAGAACGAGACAAAAAUUAUGAGCCAUCGGACAGCACCGACAAUGAAGGCGAGGAAGAAGCAGAUAUUGAAAGAAACGUAGGUGCAGUGCUUCCUGAGUUAGGUCACGAAGAAAAUAAUGAACCGAGUUCAAGUCGUCGACCGAUUUGGAGAAGGAAAUCUUUUUGCCAACCAAUUAUCGAUAUGCCUGUUGCAGAGGAAGUUGUAAGUCGAAAAAUUGUAGACUAUGCAGUAGAUACGCCCACACCUCUAGAAUAUUUCGCUAAAUAUUUUGAUAACGUAUUUUUCGAAAAUGCGGCUAAUUGCACUAAUAGAUACGAAUUUGCGAAUGCAGGUGGCAUGUUAAAAACAACCACUAAGGAAAUCAAAAACUUUUUUGGAAUGCACAUUGCAAUGGGUUGCAUUCACUUUCCUAGAAUUCGAAUGUAUUGUUAGAACAAAUAUAAAAUUCCACUGGUAGCGGAAACAAUGACUCGCGACAGAUUUUUUAAGUUAAGAGAAGCAUUCCACGUCGUUUUUCCAAGAGACGUUCCUGAAACCCAAAGAAGACACAAUAUUUUUUGGAGAGUGCAACCAAUUAUUGAUGCAGUGCGGAAUGUUGUUUAAAAAUUCCAAGAAAAAGGGGGGAGCAUAUUCCAUAGACGAACAAAUGAUACCCUUUACUGGUCGUUGUCCAGUUCGUCAAAGUUUGCCUAACAAACCAAGAGGCGUUGGAUUGAAAAACGAAGUAUUGACCACAUCAGAUGGACUUGUUCUCGAUUUCGAGAUUUAUCAAGGCAAGACAACACCUCUACCAGAGGAAAAUAUUGGAAUCGGUCCCGCGUUUGCUUUGCGUCUGACACAAACCUUACCAAAAGGGUCAAAAGUAUUUUUUGACAGAUACUUUACUACUUUGCCGCUGUUAGAAAAGCUUCUGGAAAAUGGAAUUUACGGAACUGGAACAAUUAUGCGAAACCGCAUAAAAUGUGUCAGUUUGACCAACGACAAAAAAAUGAAAAGAGGAGAUAUGGAGGAAUUUUGUGAUCCAAAUGACAAAGUUGUCGUUGUACAAUGGAAGGACUCGAAGUCAGUUUUACUAACCUCAACCGCAUUUGGCUGCAGUCCAGUGGAUGUCGUUCGUCGUUGGUGCAAAAAAGAAAAAAAAAUCAUCCAAGUUGCUCGUCCAAAUAUAGUCCAGCACUACAAUAAGUUAAUGGGUGGUGUGGACAUUUGCGACCAACAAAUGGAAGCGUACCGAACAUUUUUUAAAACCCGAAAAUGGACACUAAAGGUAAUUAUUCAUUUCAUUGACUUAGCGUGUUGCAAUGCUUGGAUGGAGUAUCGUAUUUUUUGUCGGGAAAUUAGAAUGCCACCAAAGGCUAUACACGAUUUACUAAGUUUUCGGCUUGCGCUAGCGGAGCUUUGGUAGCAGAUCAAACUAAAACGAACGUGGAGUGGUGCUCUGGAUCAGAAUCAGGCGACGUUGAUUUAACUCCACCUUCUAAACGAUACCGUCCAGCAGACCAACCAUGCCCUGAAAAGCGGCUAGAUGGUAUCAAUCACUGGCCAGAAGAAUCUGACCUAAAAUCAGCCCGUAUGUGCCGUCGAAAAGAGUGUAAGUCUCGUACGCGCACGCGAUGCACCAAGUGCGAUGUAUAUUUAUGCUUAAAUAAGAAAAAGAAUUGUUUCACUAUUUAUCACACGAAAAAAUAAAUAAAAAGUUUAAAUAGAUGGCA